UACAGAGACCUCAAGCGUUAUCCGGAAUCAUUGGGCGUAAAGCGUGCCGAUAGGUGGUUUAGAAAGUCAGAAGUGAAAUCUCUCAGCUUAACUGGGAGACUGUCUUUUGAAACUUCUAAACUAGAGGGGCAAAGAGGAAGCUGGAACGAACGGUGUAGUAGUGAAAUGCGUUGAUAUCGUUCGGAACACCAAUAGCGUAGGCAGGCUUCUGGGUGCCACCUGACACUGCUAGGACGAAAGCGUGGGGAGCGAAUGGG
rnacentral:rRNA from 1 species